rnacentral:rRNA from 1 species
GAUGAACGCUGGCGGCGUGCUUAACACAUGCAAGUCGAGCGAAGCGCUUAAGUUUGAUUCUUCGGAUGAAGACUUUUGUGACUGAGCGGCGACGGGUGAGUAACGCGUGGUAACCUGCCUCAUACAGGGGGGAUAACAGUUAGAAAUGACUGCUAAUACCGCAUAAGACCACAGGGUCGCAUGACCCGGUGGUAAAAACUCCGGUGGUAUGAGAUGGACCCGCGUCUGAUUAGCUAGUUGGUGGGGUAACGGCUCACCAAGGCGACGAUCAGUAGCCGACCUGAGAGGGUGACCGGCCACAUUGGGACUGAGACACGGCCCAA